CCACCAUGGGUCGUGCGGUUUAAAGUGUAAACUAGGCCAAUCUGGCCAUUGGAUGGGAAGACUUUCCUUCCCCUCCCGUUUUUCAUCUAUGGACCUUGCUUUUUCCUCCUGAAUUCUUGAUUUGGAAUACUUAAUCAAUCUGAUACAUAAUUCGCAAAUUAUGACAGAACAGUAUUUAAAAUCUAUUAAGGUUGGAUUUAUCGGAGGUGGAAAUAUGGCUAGUGCUAUAGGUGCUGGUUUGAUUCGCAAAAAUGUAUUAAAUCCAGAUAAUGUCUGGGUUUCUAGUCGUACAGAAAGAACGCAUGAAUUUUGGAAGGAUCUAAAGACUCAUCCAACGUUGAAAAACGAUGAAGUCGUGAGCAACUGUGAUAUUAUAUUUCUAACAGUGAAACCACAUAUGCUGGAUGAUGCUCUUGAGACUCUUGCAGUUAGAAAAGAACUUAAGAAGUGUAAUAGCAAGCUCUUUAUUUCAGUACUCGCUGGAAUAUCUCUUGAUACCUUGCAUGCUAAACUCUCAACGGUUGUGUCUUGGCCAAGGAUAAUUAGAUCUAUACCAAAUACAUCCCUCAUGAUUGGGGAAGGAAUCACAGUUUAUUGCAGCAACAAUGCCGAGCCAAAGGAUCUAGAAUUGAUAGAUAUGUUAUUUUCUUAUAUUGGCAUUAGUCAAAAUGUUCCAGAGAGUCUUAUAAAUAGUAUUGGUGGUCUGUCAGGUAGCGGCCCAGCGUUUGCAUAUCUCAUCAUAGAGGCAUUAGCGGACGGAGCCGUGAAAAUGGGUGUGCCGAGACCAAUGGCAACUAAAUUUGCUGCACAAGUGCUAGUAGGAGCUGGAAAAAUGGUACUUGAAACUGGACGGCAUCCCGGCCAAUUAAAGGACGAAGUCUGUUCGUCUGGCGGUACCACUAUUACUGGCAUUCAUGCUAUGGAAACAGGAGGAGUCAGGUCGGUUUUACCGUUGCACCGCCAAGGUCACUGCUGGUCGAUCAGUCUCGCCAGCUAAGUAGGUCGCUCGCGCCUUUGUGUCAGUCUGCUUCCCGCUGCGCUGUUAUCGCACUACGUCGCUGAGGAGGUGGGGAGGAAACAUGGUGGCGGCGAAGAAGCCGCCAUCGACAUCUGGCACUGCGUUGGUCUGAGAUCUGGCCGUAUCGAUAACCAGGAUGGAGGAGAAACGUCAUACGGGCCGAGAGCCCGAGGAAAGCAGGAAACCGAGCGCGCAGUAAACUGCGCCGAUACCAAUACCAGUCUCGAGAGUCAGAGGACCGUCACCU